CUCACAUGUUUUAUAAAUAAACAAAUUAAUUUAUCUCAUACACAUCACAAAGAAGUUUGUGUUGAUUAGAAGAGCCUCAAGAUUGGUAUCAUCAAUAUCUAAGAUUCUCCCAAGAGUUUAUGCAUAUUUCAGGAACCAAAACGGAUCUAUGUUGUAGUCUUGUUUACCUCGGAUAAUUCAAAGAGUGAUCUCUCUAUCCGCUUAAGCUCCUUGGCAACAUCGAUCAUCUUCGGUCUCUUCUCCAAACUUUUCUCGCAACAUCUAAACGUUAGCUCAACAAACUUGUUGACCUGAGAUCUUUCUGCCUCCUCAAUGUCUCUUACUCCGACCUUCAAUAUGGUCUCGGUAAACUCACCUUUCUCUUGUAAGCCUCUUACAUAGUUACGGAUAUCAAUGAAAGCGCACAUCAGAUCGAGGAGCCAUACCAUGUCUUCCAAUCAGAAGAACCAUCAUAAUUCAUAAAGAUUCCAAAGCUAUAAACAUCAACAUACUCUGUGAGAAAUCCAGAUCCUUCACAAAACCAAGAAUGAUGGAGGAACGUCUGAAACAGGAGAAGCCGCAUAAGGGAAGCUAACUCCUGAAAACUUAUGCUUUGACAUGCUCUGAUGAGAAA